AUUGAACGCUGGCGGCAUGCCUUACACAUGCAAGUCGAACGGUAACAGGUCUUCGGAUGCUGACGAGUGGCGAACGGGUGAGUAAUACAUCGGAACGUGCCCGAUCGUGGGGGAUAACGAAGCGAAAGCUUUGCUAAUACCGCAUAAGAUCUACGGAUGAAAGCAGGGGACCGCAAGGCCUUGCGCGAACGGAGCGGCCGAUGGCAGAUUAGGUAGUUGGUGGGAUAAAAGCUUACCAAGCCGACGAUCUGUAGCUGGCCUGAGAGGACGACCAGCCACACUGGGACUGAGACACGGCCCAGACUCCUACGGGAGGCAGCAGUGGGGAAUUUUGGACAAUGGGCGAAAGCCUGAUCCAGCCAUGCCGCGUGCAGGAUGAAGGCCUUCGGGUUGUAAACUGCUUUUGUACGGAACGAAAAGACUCUGGUUAAUACCUGGGGUCCAUGACGGUACCGUAAGAAUAAGCACCGGCUAACUACGUG
rnacentral:rRNA from 1 species